UACGGGGGGAGCAAGCGUUGUUCGGAUUUACUGGGCGUAAAGGGCGCGUAGGCGGUCAGCACAAGUCAGUUGUGAAAUCUCCGGGCUUAACUCGGAAAGGUCAACUGAUACUGUGCGACUAGAGUGCAGAAGGGGCAACUGGAAUUCUCGGUGUAGCGGUGAAAUGCGUAGAUAUCGAGAGGAACACCGGCGGCGAAGGCGGGUUGCUGGGCUGACACUGACGCUGAUGCGCGAAAGCCAGGGGAGCGAACGGG
rnacentral:rRNA from 1 species